rnacentral:lncRNA from 1 species
CGUUCCUAGCCAUAGGAUUGCCAAUUGGGCAUUGACAAUCCGUUAAGGUUAGUAUGUGUUAUGUUGACUCAAACGUGAGUAUGAACUAGUCUCAAGUCAUUUGGUGUUGGACACUGAGACAAACACAUAGGUGCUCGAAAAGGUAAUCGAGUACACUGAACGUCGAUCAAAAGAGAGUUCAAACAUACAUGUCAUGUAUGAACUCUAAAGUUGCAAUAUGCAAAGUAGUCCUUUGACCUGAGGCAUCAUAGAUGUCUAAUGGUUAGAUCCUUGAUCUUUGAUCAUGUCAACGGCAUUCCUUCGGAUUGUCCACAGCAUUGUUGGGGUCAAGCUAUCUAGUCAUGUAGGCAUAUGAAUGCACAACAAAGGAUCUCUAACCUUCCAUGGUGGAAGGAGAAUACCCUAAGAUAUGAUUCUAAAGUCUUUGGCCAAAGCAUAUGAAUAUGACUUAGGAAGUUUG